GUUGAACGCUGGCGGCAGGCCUAACACAUGCAAGUCGAGCGGAUGAAGGGAGCUUGCUCCUGGAUUCAGCGGCGGACGGGUGAGUAAUGCCUAGGAAUCUGCCUGGUAGUGGGGGAUAACGUCCGGAAACGGGCGCUAAUACCGCAUACGUCCUGAGGGAGAAAGUGGGGGAUCUUCGGACCUCACGCUAUCAGAUGAGCCUAGGUCGGAUUAGCUAGUUGGUGGGGUAAAGGCCUACCAAGGCGACGAUCCGUAACUGGUCUGAGAGGAUGAUCAGUCACACUGGAACUGAGACACGGUCCAGACUCCUACGGGAGGCAGCAGUGGGGAAUAUUGGGCAAUGGGCGAAAGCCUGAUCCAGCCAUGCCGCGUGUGUGAAGAAGGUCUUCGGAUUGUAAAGCACUUUAAGUUGGGAGGAAGGGCAGUAAGUUAAUACCUUGCUGUUUUGACGUUACCAACAGAAUAAGCACCGGCUAACUUCGUG
rnacentral:rRNA from 1 species